GCCUGUUCUCCCGGGGGUCGCGCUUGAGCGGCUGAGAUAGAGGUGUCCCUCUGACCGGUCGAACCUGAUCCGGGUCAUGCCGGCGAAGGGACGGGAACGGGCGGCCCUC
rnacentral:ncRNA from 2 species